UAAAAAAAUGGUUAAAAUGGUAAAUUGUAUGUUAUGCAUAUUUUACCAUAAUAACAAUUUUUAAAGUCUGCUCGCUCUGAGCUCAGUGUCUUCAAAAGCUCUCUGCUGGGUCCUAUUAGCAGGACUAAAGGCAAGUAACAUAGUGCCAAAAUAUCUCAUCAAUUCAGUCGAUUCGUUGAUAAUUGUAAUCAAUACAGAGGAAAAAACUAGCCGACCCUUUCUGCACCUGUUCUCCUAGGAAAGAGCCACCUGACUCCCUAACCUGCAUGAGCUGAUGGCCUGGAGACAUGGCUCCCCUGAGCCAGCAAACCUGACUUGUGGAAAGGUGCAACUCCUCUUACCUAGUCCAAAAUUGCAUAGGAGUUUUUGCUGUCUAAUGACCUCAGCUGCCUUCUGAACACAGAAGUGCACACCCAGAUUGGAAUAAAGAUGCGACAAAUAGAAUUCUAUCUCCGUGUGUCUAUACCUUGCUCAGAAACAAGGCAGAAUAGCAAAAUGGAAAAGCUAUAUGCCAUCACCAGACAGCAACAAUCCUUCAAGUAAGAUUUUAAAAAAGAAUACAUGGAAUGUAGCCAACCAUCCCCACUAAAAAUAAAACACUCCACUUCCCUCAGCCGAUUCAAUUAUCUCUCUAAAAAAGGGCUUUUUUUUAACACCUCCCAGCAGGCAGCAGAUUCAGUGAGUUGGUGAGGAUAACAGUGAAUAAUUAAGCAACCAGUGCCCAAGGUGUGAAGGAAAACAUGGACUGGCUCAACUAGGAGCAGCAGUGUCUAAGCUCCAUGAAUAUAAAUGUUUAGAAAUGAAUAUUAUUGCCUAGUGCCAUCUGGAAUAUUUUUCAUUAUGUAGAGCAUGUUUUGGAAAACUCUUAAUGAUUUCCUUUUUUGCAUGCAUGAGACAGGGUCUCCCUCUGUUGCCCAGGCUGGACUGCAGUGGCGUGAUCACAGCUCACUGCAGCCUUGACCUCCUGAGCUCAAGCCAUCCUCCCACCUCAGCCUCCCAAAGUGCUGAGAUUACAGGUGUAAGCCACCGCAUCCCACUAAUGAUUUUCUAACUGUGAAGCCAUCCCUGUGACAAAGACUCUGUCCUUGACAUGAUAUUGCUCUGAGUUGAAAUUCUCACCUGGAAAAUCUGCCAACGUAGGCCAAGCGCGG
rnacentral:lncRNA from 10 species